CGUUUCCUUCAUUAAAUUACCGUGUCAGCUCAGGCCAGCAAGCAUCAGAGGGAGCAGCAAAAGUGUCGUCGUCGUCGCGGUCCGUGUCAUCCGUAUUACAAAAAAAGACUAAUCCGUUCCUUCCGUCCGCGCGCGCGAACCCUCCGGUAUCGUUACCAGCUUCCGGUUCUCCCACCCCUCCUGGAUUAACCCUCCAUUAGCAGGUCAAAGAUGAUGCUCGCCUCGACGGUGCGCGGCCUGUGCCGCCGUUCGUUCUCGACCUCGAAGGUCCUUGCGGCCCAGCAGUUGACCGUUCGGGAUGCCCUCAACGCGGCACUGGACGAAGAAAUGGAGCGGGACGAACGGGUGUUCAUUCUUGGGGAGGAGGUCGCCCAGUACGACGGAGCGUACAAGGUCUCCCGCGGUCUGUGGAAAAAGUACGGCGACAAGCGCGUCAUCGACACACCCAUCACGGAGAUGGGCUUCGCCGGUAUCGCGGUCGGCGCCGCCAUGGCCGGCCUGCGCCCGGUGUGCGAGUUCAUGACGUUCAACUUCUCGAUGCAGGCCAUUGACCAGGUCAUCAACUCGGCUGCCAAAACCUUUUACAUGUCUGCCGGCACGGUGAACGUUCCGAUCGUGUUCCGCGGACCGAACGGAGCCGCCUCCGGUGUGGGAGCUCAGCAUUCACAGUGCUUCGGUGCGUGGUACUCGCACUGUCCUGGUCUGAAGGUGGUUGCACCGUACGACAGCGAGGACGCCAAGGGUCUUCUCAAAGCGGCCAUCCGCGAUCCGGAUCCGGUGGUGGUGCUGGAAAACGAAAUGGUCUACGGCCAGGGCUUCCCCGUGUCGGACCAGGUGUUGGACAAGGAGUUCGUGCUGCCGAUCGGCAAGGCCAAGAUCAUGCGACCGGGCAAGCACGUUACCCUGGUGGCGUACGCCAAGGCUGUCGAAACGGCCAUGCUGGCGGCCAACGAGCUCGCCGGCAAGGGCAUCGAGUGUGAGGUCAUUAACUUGCGCUCGUUGCGUCCGAUGGACUCGGAUACGAUCUUCAAAUCGGUACAAAAGACGCACCACCUGGUGACCGUUGAGCAGGGCUGGCCACAGAGCGGUGUCGGCUCAGAGAUCUGCGCAAGAAUUAUGGAACACGAAACGUUCUUCCAUCUGGACGCUCCGGUUUGGCGUGUGACAGGAGUGGACGUCCCGAUGCCUUAUGCCAAGACGCUGGAAGCAGCGGCACUGCCCCAACCCGCCGACGUUGUCCUCGCGGUGAACAAAGUGCUAGGAACUAAGUAGACCCAGAAUACCUCACAGCCGCCACACCCUCCCCAUUUACACACACGAGUUCACACACGUACAUAGACACAAACACAAGUCACACUUUUACACUGCGAAUCAGAUUUUAUUUAGAGAGAAAAACAAACAGCAAGAUUACUAAUAAAGUACGAAGUUGCAUGAUGAGAUAGCGAGACAGAGUUGAUUUUCCACAAAGUGGAUAGAGUUUCAUUUUCUUCUUAUUUUUUUUGUGCAAUCAGUGCAGAUGAAUUUCCGUUUUUAGAGAAAAAACGAUAUUGAGUCCAAAAGUAUCCACUACGACAUACUCUAAAACCGACUAGGAUGUGAUGAUUCUCAGAAGUUUCUUGGUUGUUUUCAGGUUUAUUUCCCGCUACAAAUUUGAAAAAAUGACAUUGUUUUCGAUCGAUCUGGUGAACAUUUUCGUAGGAAAAAGCCUAAAUUGCACGAAUAAUAAACAAUGCUUCCUGGACGAAAUGA